rnacentral:rRNA from 1 species
GACGAACGCUGGCGGCGUGCUUAACACAUGCAAGUCGAACGGAAAGGCCCUGCUUUUGUGGGGUGCUCGAGUGGCGAACGGGUGAGUAACACGUGAGUAACCUGCCCUUGACUUUGGGAUAACUUCAGGAAACUGGGGCUAAUACCGGAUAGGAGCUCCUGCUGCAUGGUGGGGGUUGGAAAGUUUCGGCGGUUGGGGAUGGACUCGCGGCUUAUCAGCUUGUUGGUGGGGUAGUGGCUUACCAAGGCUUUGACGGGUAGCCGGCCUGAGAGGGUGACCGGCCACGUUGGGACUGAGAUACGGCCCAGACUCCUACGGGAGGCAGCAGUGGGGAAUAUUGCACAAUGGGCGGAAGCCUGAUGCAGCAACGCCGCGUGCGGGAUGACGGCCUUCGGGUUGUAAACCGCUUUCGCCUGUGACGAAGCGUGAGUGACGGUAAUGGGUAAAGAAGCACCGGCUAACUACGUA